rnacentral:misc_RNA from 1 species
GACGCCGAUCCAUCGUUUUCCAAUAUCUCUCUCUUGUCUUGGUUUCUCUUUCAAAGUUCAUAACAUCCCCUAACCCGUACUUCAAAGAAUCAAUGGCGAUCCUCUCAAGGACUCUUCUCAUUGCUGCGCUGGCUCUUCUACUCUCUGCGGUCUCUGCUCAAGACGCCGCGCCUGGGUCUUCUCCUGCUCCCACUCCCACCUCUGCAGCUGGCUUGAUCUCACCUUCUUUUGGCUUCGCUUGCGUUUCAGCUGCUGCAGUUCUCCUCUUUGGCUAUGGGUUGAAGAUCUAAGGACUCGAUUCAGGGUAUCAUUGAUUUUUGAGGUUUACAGUUAGGAACUGGUGGAUCGGAUCUAGGGUUUUGUGAGGUGGUAUGUUUAUAUAAAUAUACGAUUAUUUAGGAUUCUGAGAGUGAGAUUUUACAGAUAUGUAAUAAUUUUGGUGGUGCAUAGAUGCUUAUGGAUUGACUUAUUAUUAUAUUAUAAAUAAAAACUAUUGAUUAGUAGUAUCUCUGAUUUCUUUUCUUGGGGUUCCUUCAAAUUUUGAGCUUGUUUGAUUUGUGAGAAUUGUUUUGAAUUUGGCAUUUUUGGUUGUACAAUUUCAAUCCUUUUCCUGAUAAACUUAGUUCAUUCUCUUUA